CAGGCCCUGCUCCCGAGGGGCUACCAGCCCAGAGGUGCCAAGAACGACAGGUCCAUGAGGCAGAUCCACCAGGGAUGCGGCGGCUACAGUGGGGGUGUGUGCCCACACGUGAGGAGGGUUAGGGGAUCUACCUAAGGCAGGUGGAAUCAAGGUGCCUCAUGGUGGACGUAACACCAGAGCAGAUUCAAGUCACAGAAAGUAGUAGACCUUGAGGGGAUCCCUGGGUGGCUCAGCAGUUUGGCACCUGCCUUUGGCCCAAGGUGUGAUCCUGGAGUCCCGGGAUCGAGUCCCUUGUCGGGCUCCUGGCAUGGAGCCUGCUUCUCCCUCUGCCUGUGUCUCUGCCUCUCUCUCUCUCUCUAUGUCUAGCAUAAAAAUAAAUAAAUAAAUAAAUAAAUAAAUAAAUAAAUAAAUAAAUAAAUAAAUAAAUCUUUUUUAAAAAACAAAGAAGUAGACCUUGAAGGGGAGGGGAAGGGGAGAAGCGUUCAAGGAAAACCAAGAGAACAUCUUUGGAAGGAUAAUUCAUUUCUAUGAGAAGAAGCCUGGAGCUUUUUUUUUUCUUCCUUCACUUUACUCACAAAAUCCAGUGAGUUUCUGAUUCAUAAGCAUCCGUCACUGUAUUGGAGAGAGGGUCUUAAAGCCAAUAACAGGAUGCCUUUCCAGGAACAGAUCUGUGUCUUCAUUUAUGCUUCUGGAAACCAGGUCACACUUCAGAGGCACGGCCUCAAUUCUUCUAAAAACCUGGGACACCUUUACAAGUUGCAUCCUUGAUGUAGGGAAAUUAUCCCACAUUAUCUGUCAUUACAGCACAGCUAUUAAUUAAAAUCCCGGGUGUAUCAAUGGCUUUUGGAAAUCCGGGAAAGGUUUUAGCAGCUCGUAUAAAAUACUGAGGACACUUUUCUGUUCCGUACUACAGCGCUGAUACACCUGCUGCAAAUACCCUUUCUUUUAUAUAAAAUAAAUAUUUACGUUCACUAAUGGAGCUCAGGCUUCCUGGAGCGCCCUUCCUCUGCCCCCCCCCCUGACCUGCACUCAACCGGGGCGGCCAGAAGUCUCACCUUCUUGGGAAUCUCUUCCUAACUCAUGGGACAGAAGUCUUUCCUGUUUGCUCCCUCAUCUUCCUAUGCUUCUCAUCCUAACAAACGUCCUGUGUCCCUCUCCUUCACAACACUUACGGGGUUCAUGGACCAGAGAUCCUCAGGGAUCCCCAGGACAAUGCUGCAGUUACAAGAGAAGAUUCCAGGGGCACCUGGUGCCUCAGUGGUUGAGCAUCUGCCUUGGGCUCAGGGCGUGACCCCCGGGGUCCUGGGACCGCAGGGAGCCUGCUUCUCCCUCUGCCUGGGUCCCUGCCUCUCUCUGUGGGUCUCUCAUGAGUAAACAAAUAGCAUCUCAAAUAAAAAACUAAGAAGAGGGAAGAUUCCAGAGCUGCCUGGGACUAAAUCCCGGCUCUACCACUCAGGGUCUCUAUGACUGGAUGUACUCAACCUGUUUACCCCUUGGUCUCCUCAAAGGUAAAAUGGGACCAUAAUGACAUCUACCUCAUGGGGCUGUUAUGAAGAUAAGGUGAUCUAAUAUUUUUAAAGCAUUUAUUCUGACACUUGAUCCAUCCUAAGUACCAUACGAGGGUAGCUAUUUUGUAAUCACUUAACCAUUUCGUUAUGCUCAGGACUAACGUGCCUCCUGGCACCAAAUACAUAAUAAAUACGUGUGGAAUAAAUGAAUGGAAGAAAAUCAUUGACAGGAUUUUGUUCCCCCUUCUGACUCUCCCCACUUCUCCUGCCUCCCCCCUUUCUCCCAGGCCCUUCUCCCUCUCUCUCUCACAGUUCAGACAUCCCGUCAAUACUCCAAGUCAUUAUAAAAUCCUUGGAUUAGACUCCGUGAAAUUCCACACACCUUCUUUGUUUCGCUGAAAGGUCAGGCUUGAUUAAAGAUAUCUAAGUCUGUUUCUCCCCAAGGACUAUUCUUUAGAAAUAACACAAAAUAGUUUAGACAGUUAUUACGGUCCCAGAAGAAUUGGGGCAAUCCUCAAAAUGAGUCUGUCAUGUAGAUCAUGGUCAGUAUUUGUUAGCCAAGAUCACGUAUAACUUUCGAGAUAAUCACACAGAUUUUCACUAUACACAGAUGGCAGCCCCAAAUGUAAAGUGUAGACUAAUGCAAAAAAGGAUCUACAAGCACUCUUAGACAAGACAAAACAAUCAAAAUGGACAGGAGUGCUGGUGAGUGGUAAGAAGAAACUUACCUGUAUUUUAACAGACCUAGAAGCUAUAGAGGAAGUUAUCAGUUUUUUUAAUAUUUAAUUUAAUUAAACAAUUAAAUAAUUAAAUAAUUAAAUAAUUAUUAAUUAUUAAAUGAUAUUGUUAAUAUUAUAAUUAUUAAUUAUUAUUAAUAUCAUUAAAUAAUAUUUAAUUUAAUUAUUUAAUAUUAUAUUUUGAAUGUUUUAAUAUUUAAUAUUUUCAUUUUAAUAAAGAUAUUUUAAAUAUUUUUUUAAAUUUAUUUAUGAUAGUCACAGAGAGAGAGAGAGGCAGAGACACAGGCAGAGGGAGAAGCAGGCUCCAUGCACCGGGAGCCUGACGUGGGAUUCGAUCCCGGGUCUCCAGGAUCGCACCCUGGGCCAAAGGCAGGUGCCAAACCGCUGCGCCACCCAGGGAUCCCUAUUUUAAAUAUUUUUAAGAUUAAAUUAAAUUUAAAUUUUUAAUUACUGAGUACCUAAUAUGUGCCAGGUUCUAUAAUAGAAACUGUUACUUGUAUUUUUCACUAUGUUAUACUGAUUAAAUAAUAAUAAUGAUAAUAAUAACUUUGACCAAAUCACAAAUAAGAAUUAAUAAUUCCCCAAGUCACCCUUUUCUUACAGUUCUCAAAGAGUGGUAAAUGGCUGCAAGGCUUUGACAGGUUCUUAGAUUUCAAUUCAACACAAGUAUUCACAUUAAUGAGAAAUCAUUUUAAAAUUUUGCUUUCUUAUAAUUUCCUUAGAGAAAGCAACCAAGAUUAGUAGGCUCACCGUCUCACACCACAGCAUAUCAUUAUAUAGGACACAUGUACUACUCAGAAAUUCACAGUAAAAGCAGCAAUGACCCUAGACUAUCAGUAUUUACAGGUUCGCAGAGAGCCUGAUUUCUAAGAAGAGUUAAGUGAACAUUAGAUGUUAUAUUUGGAUUUGAUACUUUGAUAUUAUGAUUAAUAAAGAUCAUUCAAUAUAAUGAAUUCUGUUCAUUCGAUUGUGUGUAAAGAAAAACUGUGAUUGUAGAUCCAGGUAGACAGACAGACAGAUAGAUAAGCAGAAAAAGCAUGUGUCCAUUAUAGAAUACUUAGUAAUAAAUAAAUGCUGCUAUGGUUAAUAUUUGACCUUUUAAACAGGUAAAGAUUGCCAACGUACAAAUAAAGGAUAAGCUGCAGGUAAGUCAGACAUCUAACUCUACAAAAUUACUUGUAGAAUUUGUAGAAUUUCUGGUAGCAUUUCUCAGUUUCCCAUUUACUCAACUCUAAAGUUAUGCGAAAUAAUCUUAUUCAUUUGAAAGAAAACAUAUCUGUAAAUAUGUUUACAUAUAUUUUGUAAAUAUGAAUAUUUUAUAUAAUUAUGUAUCACAGAGUUAUCUUGAAAACGAACAUUGAACAGAACAUAAAUUUUACCAAUUUAUGUAAUUUUGACCAGAAAAGACUUGGAUAGAAUUU
rnacentral:lncRNA from 1 species